rnacentral:rRNA from 1 species
AGUCGAACGAUAGUUGUCAGCUUGCUGAUAACGAAAAGUGGCGCACGGGUGCGUAACGCGUAUGCAACCUACCUUAAUCAGGGGGAUAGCCCGAAGAAAUUCGGAUUAACACCGCAUAAAAACACAGGGUAGCAUUACCUCAUGUUCAAAUAUUUAUAGGAUUAAGAUGGGCAUGCGUGUCAUUAGCUAGUUGGCGGGGUAACGGCCCACCAAGGCGACGAUGACUAGGGGAUCUGAGAGGAUGACCCCCCACACUGGUACUGAGACACGGACCAGACUCCUACGGGAGGCAGCAGUAAGGAAUAUUGGUCAAUGGAGGCAACUCUGAACC